UACGGAGGGUGCAAGCGUUAUCCGGAUUUACUGGAUUUAAAGGGUGUGUAGGCGGGCUAUUAAGUCUGGGGUGAAAUCUCCGAGCUCAACUCGGAAACUGCCUUGGAUACUAUUAGUCUUGAAUUAUGUUGAGGUUGGCGGAAUAUAACAUGUAGCGGUGAAAUGCAUAGAUAUGUUAUAGAACACCGAUUGCGAAGGCAGCUAACUAAGCAUAUAUUGACGCUGAGGCACGAAAGCGUGGGGAUCAAACAGG
rnacentral:rRNA from 1 species